rnacentral:rRNA from 1 species
UUUGGGGGUGCCUAUACAUGCAAGUCGAGCGCGGGAAGCAGGCAGAACUCCUUCGGGAGUGAUGCCUGUGGAACGAGCGGCGGACGGGUGAGUAACACGUGGGCAACCUGCCUGUAAGACUGGGAUAACCCCGGGAAACCGGGGCUAAUACCGGAUAACACUUUUUGGUACAUGCCAAGAAGUUGAAAGGCGGCCUUUUUGGCUGUCACUUACAGAUGGGCCCGCGGCGCAUUAGCUAGUUGGUAGGGUAACGGCCUACCAAGGCAACGAUGCGUAGCCGACCUGAGAGGGUGAUCGGCCACACUGGGACUGAGACACGGCCCAGACUCCUACGGGAGGCAGCAGUAGGGAAUCUUCCGCAAUGGACGAAAGUCUGACGGAGCAACGCCGCGUGAGUGAUGAAGGUUUUCGGAUCGUAAAACUCUGUUGUUAGGGAAGAACAAGUGCCGUUCAAAUAGGGCGGCACCUUGACGGUACCUAACCAGAAAGCCCCGGCUAACUACGUGCCAGCAGCCGCGGUAAUACGUAGGGGGCAAGCGUUGUCCGGAAUUAUUGGGCGUAAAGCGCGCGCAGGCGGUCCUUUAAGUCUGAUGUGAAAGCCCACGGCUCAACCGUGGAUGGCCAUUGGAAACUGGAGGACUUGAGUACAGAAGAGGAGAGUGGAAUUCCACGUGGUAGCGGUGAAAUGCGUAGAAA